UUAUAUACUUUUGUUAACAUUAAAUUUAAAAUAAAAUAGUAAAAAUAAGGUCAGUCCAGAACAUUAUACAUCCACCUUGAUUAAUUUUAGUUGUUAUAUUUCAUCUGUAGCCUACUAAUGAUAAUCCAUAUAUUCGCAACCUUCAUACAUAUAUAUAGGCUACAAAAUUUUGAGCUGCCCGCUAAAUCAAAUAGUCUACCCGGCCGCCAGGCAAUGCACCAUGCAGUCACCGAAACACGGAGAUUAAAUUGAGUAUUCAUCUCUCUCUCUCUCUCUCUCUCUCUCUCUCUCUCUCUCUCUCUCUCUGAUGUAUUUAUUUUCUUUACAUCAAUAAAUUAUUUUAAUUUUAAUUUGAAUUUUUCUCUAUUGUUGUCCGUAAAUGCUGGCAAACCACAAAGUAAUCAUAUUAUGUAUUAUGAAAUAGAUUUCAGGGUAGCAUUGUUGGAAUAUAUUAAGGAAUUAUCACCAUAGUAAGCUAAAAUAAUAGGGCGAGGGAGUUUGCGCAACGCGCUGCUCGGAUGGUCUGCCAUGUACGUGCCAGCCUCGGCCGUUGGCGCGAAAACUGUGGGAAAGACAGGGACACUUCAGGAAGUCUCAGGCUGUUUUGGAGCCUUUCGUGGCUGUGCUAGCAAAUAGCAGGAUUUCAGAAGCGAGUGUUACAACUUCUGCUGGACAUCAGGAAAACUGUUUCGGAUACGAGCACAUGUGGUGGUAAACCAGCUGACACAGCUUGUACUCUUACAAUCAAACGGAAUAAUUCCCUGGAAGAAGUGCAGAAUCUAGAGGAUGAAUUGGUUAAUCCCAGUUAUUUCAUGGAAGUGUGCAACCAGUGCGUCCGCAUAGGUGGCUAUAAUAAGAGAUAUGGUCUCUAAUUUGAUGUGCAGGUUUAUGACCAAAAACCUCAUGUGUCAGUAUAACAUGCUUGGGCAGAGAGGCAAGUUGUCUUUUAGAAAAACAAAGUUAUACAAUGUGAUUCAGGAGAGCGUGCUUAAAAAGUUCUCAGAUUCAAAUGUGACAGAAAUACAAAUGAUAGUUGCAGCAAAAUUGCGUAAUGCUCCAAAAUUGAAAAAUGAAAAUUAGCUGAUGUAAAAUGGUACUUACAAUCAGUUAAGAUCUGCAAGAAUGUUAAAACAAACCAAUCUUUGUCUCAUGCAUGACCUUGGUGAAGUAAAGUAUUUUCAUACCAAGACGAACUGCAAUAGCGCAGUGAAAAAUCUAGUCAUACUCACUGCCACCAGGAGUCUAACCCGGGUCUCUUGAGUGAGAGCCAGACAGCAAGACCACUACACCACUGUGGUGUAGGGGUCUUGCUGCCUGGCUCUCACUCAAGAGACCCGGGUUCGACUUCUGGUGGCAGUGGGUAUGACUAGAUAAAGUAUUUUCAUUUUGUAUGUUACUAAAAAAAUGCUGGUAAAUUUAUCUCAUGACUGAUUGUACACAGAUGACCUCAUAUAUUGUAACUAUGUGUACAUUUCCCUUCCUCCCCCCUCUCUCUCUCUCUUAAAGAAGCUCUUUUUCUAUCAGAAUGACAAAAUUUAUUGAUGUGUAAACAGUAUAAGGGGGGAUGUUAGAGAAGCUUAAGAAUGAAAGAACCAGGACCGCCGAGAACCGAACCUCAGACAAGCUGUUCCCGCCACCACGCUAACCUGGUCCUGGUUCUUUCAACUUGUCGUUAUGGGAUUCAAGCUUAAGAAUGGUUUUAAGAUGUGGAGAGAGACUUACUGCUGUAAAAUUUGAACCGAUUGGGAUAUUACCUCAUGAUAUUUAUGUGAGAUGAUAUUAAUGAUCUCAGAUUAUAAAAGCAAACUAGUAUUAUUAACAGUGAUUUAUUUUGUAAUUUAGUAAUAGAUAUAACAUUUUAAUUUAUAAUUUUGCUUUUGCCUACCACUUAGGUUCCCAUGUAUUUUUACGUAAAUGAAAAAGUAUGGAGCUACACAAGUAUCAAUUCACAAAAUGCUUAAUUUCAUUGACAACUGUGGUCUGUAUUGUUUUAAGCAUAUUGUGUACUUGUGGCAGGCCUGGUAUUCUUUGCAUAUAUUCCCCCUGGGGCUACAUAGAUGCUAGAAUGUAGCCCUCUCCAUGUCGGCUGUGUGCCGUAAGAGGCGACUGAUUCUGGCCCUGGGUGGGGAUCUCUUUUACUAGCCCAUAGCAGGUCUUUUUACCGCUUGACAUAUUUUCCCUUCUCAUUUCCCUUUGCUUUCUGUCCAUUUUCUUUUACGUUCUCUUACUUUUCCGAGUGGUGGGCUGACUCUUUGUCAGAGUGAGGGUUGGUGUCCUUUACUUCCCAUAGCCAUUUCUGUCUUUCUCUUGUUCUAUAUACCUCUACUGUUUAGGGUGACACUAGGCUGGGGAUCUGCCCAUUCUUCUCUACCUUUUAUAGUCCCACUUGUGGCACAUGCCCAGGGAUAAUGCUAGGCACAAGUGCCAUGGGAACCCAUUUAUUGAGUCGUGGCCCGGGAUGGCGGAUGGUCACCCUCACAGUUCAAGGGUGGUUUCUGCUGUUCUGGACCAUGGCAUGGGGAGGUAAUGCAUAGGAGCAGGUGUCAGGCUAUGGAUGGAUUGUGGCUAAACAAAGUUUUAAUUUUUUGUAUUACUGGGAUCAUCCAUUUAUAUAUUGCAGUUAUUCUUCAUUCAAGUCAGAUAUCUUGAAAGCCUUUAUAUAUAAAAAUGCAAGCACUAACUUUUUUUUUUCAUAAAAUAUGGAAAUUAUUUUGGUUUUGAUAUUUUUACAAGGAUGAAGAUUAUUAAAUUUAUGAAAAAGUGUAAGACUGAAGAAUAUAUAUAUACACACUUUCUG